UCUCCUCCCAAAGAGUAACGGAGGAGCACGAAGGUGGGCUAAACACGGUUGGACAUCGUGUGGUUAGUGCAAUGGCAUAAGCCCGCUUGACUGCGAGAAUGACAAUUCGAGCAGGUGCGAAAGCAGGUCAUAGUGAUCCGGUGGUUCUGAAUGGAAGGGCCAUCGCUCAACGGAUAAAAGGUACUCCGGGGAUAACAGGCUGAUACCGCCCAAGAGUUCAUAUCGACGGCGGUGUUUGGCACCUCGAUGUCGGCUCAUCACAUCCUGGGGCUGAAGUCGGUCCCAAGGGUAUGGCUGUUCGCCAUUUAAAGUGGUACGCGAGCUGGGUUUAGAACGUCGUGAGACAGUUCGGUCCCUAUCUGCCGUGGGCGUUGGAAAAUUGAAAGGGGCUGCUCCUAGUACGAGAGGACCGGAGUGGACGAACCUCUGGUGUUCGGGUUGUCAUGCCAAUGGCAUUGCCCGGUAGCUAAGUUCGGAAUCGAUAACCGCUGAAAGCAUCUAAGCGGGAAGCGAGCCUUGAGAUGAGUUUUCCCUGGCGCUAUAAGCGUCCUAAAGGGUUGUCGUAGACUACGACGUUGAUAGGCAGGGUGUGUAAGUGCUGCGAGGCAUUGAGCUAACCUGUACUAAUUGCCCGUGAGGCUUAACCAUACAACACCCAAGGGGUUU
rnacentral:rRNA from 1 species